rnacentral:rRNA from 1 species
AUGAACGCUAGCUACAGGCUUAACACAUGCAAGUCGCGGGGCAGCAUGAAUUUAGCUUGCUAAAUUUGAUGGCGACCGGCGCACGGGUGAGUAACGCGUAUCCAACCUUGCCCGUCACAGGGAGAUAACCGCUGGAAACGGCGACUAAUAUCCCAUAUGAUGGCGAUCUGCAUGGAUUGUCAUUGAAAGAUUCAUCGGUGACGGAUAGGCUCGCGGGGCAUUAGCUAGACGGCGGGGCAACGGCCCACCGUGGCGACGAUGCCUAGGGGUUCUGAGAGGAAGACCCCCCACACUGGGACUGAGACACGGUCCAAACUCCUACGGGAGGCAGCAGUGAGGAAUAUUGGUCAAUGGGCGAGAGCCUGAACCAGCCAAGUAGCGUGCAGGAUGACGGCCCUAUGGGUUGUAAACUGCUUUUAUAAGGGAAUAAAGUUAGUCUCGUGAGACUUUUUGCAUGUACCUUAUGAAUAAGGACCGGCUAAUUCCGUG